CGACUAACAGUGUGGUUCAACAUGCAAAACUAUGUAACAUCUACAUGGACUAUAGAAGAUAGACAGAACGUAAACCGGUCCUUAGAAUGGCCGGGUUAAUACGUUGAAAAACAGAGAAUGGUCAAGGGAAAGCUGAGGUCAAGGAAGCCAGAAAUACACAAGAUCGAUAAGGAAAGCCAAGUCAGGUAAACCAGAGAUGAGAGGAGUCAGGAAUAGCCAAAGUCAA